GUGCCAGCCGCCGCGGUAAUACAGAGGGUGCAAGCGUUAAUCGGAAUUACUGGGCGUAAAGCGAGCGUAGGUGGCUUGAUAAGUCAGAUGUGAAAUCCCCGGGCUUAACCUGGGAACUGCAUCUGAUACUGUUAGGCUAGGGUAGGUGAGAGGGAAGUAGAAUUCCAGGUGUAGCGGUGAAAUGCGUAGAGAUCUGGAGGAAUACCGAUGGCGAAGGCAGCUUCCUGGCAUCAUACUGACACUGAGGCUCGAAAGCGUGGGUAGCAAACAGGAUUAGAAACCCCAGUAGUCC
rnacentral:rRNA from 1 species